GCUCGGUCCCCUCCCCCAUCCCAUCUCCCUCUUUUCUUCCCAGCCUUUCCUAUGAGCACCUAUAUUUAGUGCUCGCAGCAGUUGAACUGACCUGACAAACCCUCACUUCUCCAAAGAAUGUGAGUGGCUCAUCUUGGAAAUAUGCAUUCCUGUCCUUUGGUCUGAGUCACAGGCGAAGUUGUCAGUCCUUCACCUUCCCAGGCAUCUCCUCUGUGGGUUUUUAAUCUUAGUGACUUCUGUCUCUGUCUGUCCUUAGCUUUUACUUUAGUAGCAGAGUCUACACACCGCUCUGCCCUAACCCUGUGGGUUUUUCUCUACCUCUCCUGACACUUUUUCAAACAUGAUGGUUGGUGACUUUGAAUCAGGGCAGUAGAGCCCUGGCUGGUGAAAAACACAGCUACUGGACAGUCCUGAGCACUCUGCCCCCUGAGGGACCCUAGCUGGACCCCCAUCUUUCAGAAAAGAUGCUGAGAAUGUGUCCUUGGAAGGUAUUAAUGAUGCAUUAGCCUGCAGACUGAGUAAAUGUGUGGAAGUCAUUCUGAUCAUCUUUUGGUUUCCACUUAAUUAAUGUCUCCAAGCCUACAUUUUUGUCUUGAGUAAAGAGAGAGUUCCCAGUCAGGUGUACAAGGGAAGUGUGUAAGACCAUAGCACUUAAAGAUACUAGGGUUCAUGGUGUGCCAUCCUCUGACCUUGGGGCAUGAAUACAAACAUGGCUGGCCAGUCAGCUUUGGCAUGCGUUUUUACACAUUGAAAUACCUUGUAACUAGAUCUCUUCCAAAUAGUGGGACUGGGCGGGGCCAGAUACAACUGUGGCAAUCCUGCCCUGCUAUAAUUGUGUAGGUUGUAUAAUGAAUAAGCUACUAGGCCAAAUGGGAAAGUCACAGACAGAGGGGAAAGAUACAAAAUGGGAGGGAAACUGGAGGACCAACCAGUCAUGUGAUUUCUGGACUCUGAGCAGUAGCUGCUGUUCCUUCUAAGGUCUUACCGCUGCGGUUGUUAGAACUAAGCUGCUCACUCCACCCAGAGAGCAGAGUCUUAGAUGAGAUGUUGACACAUAUUAUUAAAUAGCCCUUUUUUUGUAGC
rnacentral:lncRNA from 1 species